rnacentral:rRNA from 1 species
GACGAACGCUGGAGGCGUGCUUAACACAUGCAAGUCGAACGAUGAAAUGGAGCUUGCCCCAUGGAUUAGUGGCGAACGGGUGAGUAACACGUGAAUAACCUGCCCUUAAUUUUGGAAUAACCCAGGGAAACCUGGGCUAAUACCGGAUAAGUAAACCUGUGGCUUCACAUGGUUUUGGAAAGUUUUUCGAUUAAGGAUGGAUUCGCGGCCUAUCAGCUUGUUGGUGAGGUAAUGGCUCACCAAGGCGACGACGGGUAGCCGGCCUGAGAGGGUGAACGGCCACACCGGGACUGAGACACGGCCCAGACUCCUACGGGAGGCAGCAGUGGGGAAUAUUGCGCAAUGGACGAAAGUCUGACGCAGCGACGCCUCGUGAGGGACGAAGGUCUUCGGAUUGUAAACCUCUUUCAGCAGGGACGAAGCGAAAGUGACGGUACCUGCAGAAGAAGCACCGGCUAACUAUGUGCCAGCCGCCGCGGUAA